rnacentral:sRNA from 1 species
AGCAGCCGCGGUAAUUCCAGCUCCAAUAGCGUAUAUUAAAGUUGUUGCAGUUAAAAAGCUCGUAGUUGAAUUUCGGGAUCAAUAUUUCGGUCAUGCCGUUGGUAUGCACUGUUAUCAUUGAUUUCUCACCUUCUAAAGAACCGUAAUGCCAUUAAUUUGGUGUUACGGGGAAUUAGGACUGUUACCUUGAAAAAUUAGAGUGUUUAAAGCAGGCUCACGCUUGAAUACAUUAGCAUGGAAUAAUGGAAUAGGACGUUCGAUCCUAUUUUGUUGGUUUCUAGGAUUGACGUAAUGAUUAAUAGGGAUAGUUGGGGGCAUUAGUAUUCAAUUGUCAGAGGUGAAAUUCUUGGAUUUAUUGAAGACUAACUACUGCGAAAGCAUUUGCCAAGGAUGUUUCCAUUAAUCAAGAACGAAAGUUAGGGGAUCGAAGACGAUCAGAUACCGUCGUAGUCUUAACCAUAAACUAUGCCGACUAGGGAUCGGAUGAUGUUAAUUUUUAAUGACUCAUUCGGCGCCUUAA